AGUGAACGCUGGCGGUAGGCCUAACACAUGCAAGUCGAACGGCAGCACAGUAAGAGCUUGCUCUUACGGGUGGCGAGUGGCGGACGGGUGAGGAAUACAGCGGAAUCUACUUUUUCGUGGGGGAUAACGUAGGGAAACUUACGCUAAUACCGCAUACGACCUACGGGUGAAAGCAGGGGAUCUUCGGACCUUGCGCGAUUGAAUGAGCCGAUGUCGGUUUAGCUAGUUGGCGGGGUAAAGGCCCACCAAGGCGUCGAUCCGUAGCUGGUCUGAGAGGAUGGUCAGCCACACUGGAACUGAGCCACGGUCCAGACUCCUACGGGAGGCAGCAGUGGGGAAUAUUGGACAAUGGGGGCAAGCCUGAUCCAGCCAUACCGCGUGGGUGAAGAAGGCCUUCGGGUUGUAAAGCCCUUUUGUUGGGAAAGAAAAGCAGCAGGUUAAUACGCCGCUGUUCUGACGGUACCCAAAGAAUAAGCACCGGCUAACUUCGUG
rnacentral:rRNA from 1 species